UGCCUUACACAUGCAAGUCGAACGGCAGCACGGGUGCUUGCACCUGGUGGCGAGUGGCGAACGGGUGAGUAAUAUAUCGGAACGUACCCUAUCGUGGGGGAUAACGCAGCGAAAGUUGCGCUAAUACCGCAUACGCCCUAAGGGGGAAAGCAGGGGACCGUAAGGCCUUGCGCGAUUAGAGCGGCCGAUAUCUGAUUAGCUAGUUGGUGAGGUAAAGGCUCACCAAGGCGACGAUCAGUAGCUGGUCUGAGAGGACGAUCAGCCACACUGGGACUGAGACACGGCCCAGACUCCUACGGGAGGCAGCAGUGGGGAAUUUUGGACAAUGGGGGCAACCCUGAUCCAGCAAUGCCGCGUGAGUGAAGAAGGCCUUCGGGUUGUAAAGCUC
rnacentral:rRNA from 1 species